rnacentral:rRNA from 1 species
UGGAGGAAAGUAGGGGAUCGCAAGACCUUGCGCUUUUGGAGUGGCCGAUGCCUGAUUAGCUAGUUGGUAGGGUAAUGGCUUACCAAGGCGACGAUCAGUAGUUGGUCUGAGAGGACGACCAGCCACACUGGGACUGAGACACGGCCCAGACUCCUACGGGAGGCAGCAGUGGGGAAUUUUUGACAAUGGGCGAAAGCCUGAUCCAGCAAUGCCGCGUGAGUGAAGAAGGCCUUCGGGUUGUAAAGCUCUUUCAGUCGAGAAGAAAAGGUCGUGACUAAUAAUCACAACUCAUGACGGUAUCGACAGAAGAAGCACCGGCUAACUACGUGCCAGCAGCCGCGGUAAUACGUAGGGUGCGAGCGUUAAUCGGAAUUACUGGGCGUAAAGGGUGCGCAGGCGGCUUUGUAAGUCAGACGUGA